UUAUACCUGGACGAGAAGGAAGGAAAUUUCAGUUCCAGGAAUCCAGAGUUAGAAAGGUCGACAGUUCUCUUCUCUCAGCCGGGGAAUACACAGGUGUUUUUGCCUUACUAAGUUCUCUCUUCCUAAGUGAUUCUAUUUGCCUGGAUUAAUGGAGCCUCUGUUAACUAUCAGAGUGAAUCGGUGGAUUCCGAGGCAAUUGUAGGUUGUCUUCUUGUGCCUACAAUCCAGGUGGUUCAUGACAACGACUGGUCAAAGUGGAUUUUUGAAGAAGAGAUACAACUAAGGUAUACAAGAGUUUCACGAUGAGCUUCUCACGCAGUAUACUGGAGAAAUUCAUCUGCCUUCAGUGGGGGGAUUCAUUUACCCCUGAACGUGACGGAGAGGUAUCUUGAGAUAGAAUAAUCCUCGAAAGCAUAAGAGGUGUACUAACAGACCUCGAAAUGCAGGAAUGAAAAUGGAAUCAUAAAUUGUAUGAUGGAAGGGAGGGGGGAGACCCUAUGAUCAUACCCGUCGUAACUGGAGAUCGAAAAAUUAACGAAAACAUUAGUAGUGGCAGGAAAAUGGGGCCACAUUCAGCAGCAGUGGCUAAUCAGUGGGUUGAAGAAGCAACAACUAUUCCAUUUGCUAGAUGAUCAAACUGCAUAGGCAACUUCACUGCAAGAAUAACGUAUUCGUUAAAAAAUUGAAAUCCUAACAGCAAAUCAGCAAAAUCGUUUACAAGAAUAUGUUCUCAGAAGUAGCAGCGCCAGCUUAUGGGCCUUCAGAAUAGAUGGUAAUAGGGUUCUCAGAAGAAAUAUGCAGUCCAGCAACAUUGCAAAGCAGCAGCUAAAGGGCAUGCAGAUAACCAGCACUCGGCAGCGAAAGAUCUUGGAAGAAAUGGCAUUCUACCGUGCUGCAGUAAAUGUACAUUUUC